UACGGAGGGUGCAAGCGUUAUCCGGAUUCACUGGGCUUAAAGGGUGCGUAGGUGGGUUUGUAAGUCAGUGGUGAAAUCUCCAAGCUUAACUUGGAAACUGCCGUUGAUACUAUAAAUCUUGAAUGUUGUGGAGGUGAGCGGAAUAUGUCAUGUAGCGGUGAAAUGCUUAGAUAUGACAUAGAACACCAAUUGCGAAGGCAGCUCACUACACAAAGAUUGACACUGAGGCGCGAAAGCGUGGGGAUCAAACAGG
rnacentral:rRNA from 1 species